UACGAAGGGUGCAAACGUUAUUCGGAAUCACUGGGCGUAAAGGGUGCGUAGACGGCUUAUUAAGUUCGUCGUUAAAGGCUCCGGCCCAACCGGAGUAUUGCGAUGAAAACUGGUAAACUAGAGGGUGAGAGAGAGAAGUGGAAUUCCCGGAGUAGCGGUAAAAUGCGUGGAUCUCGGGAGGAACACCAAUGGCGAAGGCAGCUUCUUGGUUCAUACCUGACGUUGAGGCACGAAAGCGUGGGGAGCAAACAGG
rnacentral:rRNA from 1 species